UUUAGCCUAGUUUAAAUAAAAAUAAAGGCUUGUCAAGCCUUAGAUGCAUACUGUAAUGCGGUUGA
rnacentral:tRNA from 1 species